GAUGAACGCUGGCGGCGUGCUUAACACAUGCCAGUCGAACGGAAAGGCUCCUGCUUGCAGGGGUACUCGAGUGGCGAACGGGUGAGUAACACGUGGGUGAUCUGCCCUGCACUUCGGGAUAAGCCUGGGAAACUGGGUCUAAUACCGGAGAGGACGAUGGUUUGGAUGCCAUUGUGGAAAGUUUUUCGGUGUGGGAUGAGCUCGCGGCCUAUCAGCUUGUUGGGGGGGUAAUGGCCUACCAAGGGGUCGACGGGUAGCCGGCCUGGGAGGGUGUACGGCCACAUUGGGACUGAGGUACGGCCCAGACUCCUACGGGAGGCAGCAGUGGGGAAUAUUGCACAGUGGGCGCAAGCCUGAUGCAGCGACGCCGCGUGGGGGAUGACGGCCUUCGGGUUGUAAACUCCUUUCGCUAGGGACGAAGCGCAAGUGACGGUACCUGGAGAAGAAGCACCGGCUAACUACGUG
rnacentral:rRNA from 1 species